rnacentral:lncRNA from 1 species
CUUCUGUUCAGUUGGUGAGAUCCUUUGACUGGAACAGAGACUGACUUGGUCCUCUCACUAACUCACUCGCUGACUAGGCUUCGGUUGGUGAGUAGAGUAGGCUCUUUCUGGCUGCUGUUGAAGACAGACAUCUGUGAAUUUACCCAAGGCUGGUAAAAGGGGAGAGACUCCUCUGAAUCCCAUAUGAAGAAGUUUCCUGCUUUCCUGAUGGAGAGAAGUCAUCUAAAGAAGAAGCUGGUAGAUCCAAGUUGCUGGAUAGAAGUUUGGAGAAGAAGAAAGAUUGAAGUUGUUUGGACUUUGGGCCAUACCAGGGCUACCAGACGGUUAAUGUUGCUGUUGUUGGCAGUGUGUUAAGGAAACAUAUUAACAAGUUAAGAAAGAUCCGACCAAGAGGAUUCAUGGCAGAAUUUCAGAUUAUUGAAUCAUAGCUGGAAGGGACUUUAGAGAUCAUCUGCAUCAAACCCCUUAUUUCACAAAUGAGGAAUCUGAAGCCCAUGGAGGAAAUGUAAUUUCUCAAAGUCUCAAAAUGUGAUACUGAAAUGAAACAAUGAACUUUUCUUUUACUCUGAUGUUUCCUGGAGUCAGGAUUUGUUGUUGUUCAGCCAUUCUUCAGUCAUGUCCAACUCUUUGUGACUCCAUUUGGGGUUUUCUUGUGCUUCCUCUGGAUGUGGAUAGCUUCUUUCUCAUAAGACCCUCAGAAUUGUCUUGGAUCAUUGCAUUGCUGCUAGUAGCAACAUCGAUUACAUUGGAUAGUUCCACAAUGUUUCAGUUUCCGUGUACAAUGUUUUCCUGGUUCUGCUCAUUUCAUUCUGCAUCGUUUCAUGGAGGUUCCUCCAACAUCAUUCCUCAUAGCACAGUGGUAUUCCAUCACCAACAGAUACCACGGUUUUCUUGCUUAAUGACACAUGUAAAACCCAGUGGAAUUGCAUGUUGGCUAUGGGAAGAGGUUGGGAGGAAGGGGAGGGAAAGAACAUGAAUCUUGUAACCAUAGGAAUAUGGUCUAAAUUAAUUAAUUAAAUAAAAGUAAAUAUUUAAAAGCA